AUACUUACCUGGCAGGGACAUACCAUGAUCACAAAGGUGGAUUUCCCAGGGAAAGGUUUAUCCAUUGCACUCUUGAUGUGCUUACCCUGUGAUUUCCCCAAAUGUGGGAAACUCGGCUACAUAAUUUGUAGUAAUGGGGGAACUACAUUUGUGCUCUCUCCUG
rnacentral:snRNA from 1 species